AGAGUUUGAUCCUGGCUCAGGACGAACGCUGGCGGCGCGCCUAACACAUGCAAGUCGAACGGUGACGAGAGCUUCGGCUCUCUGAUCAGUGGCGGACGGGUGAGUAACACGUGAGCAACCUGCCUAUCAGAGGGGGACAACAGUUGGAAACGACUGCUAAUACCGCAUAACGUGCACGGAAGGCAUCUUCUGUGCACCAAAGAUUUAUCGCUGAUAGAUGGGCUCGCGUCUGAUUAGAUAGUUGGCGGGGUAACGGCCCACCAAGUCGACGAUCAGUAGCCGGACUGAGAGGUUGAACGGCCACAUUGGGACUGAGACACGGCCCAGACUCCUACGGGAGGCAGCAGUGGGGGAUAUUGGACAAUGGGGGCAACCCUGAUCCAGCGACGCCGCGUGAGGGAAGAAGGUUUUCGGAUUGUAAACCUCUGUCAACAGGGAAAAUGAUGAUGGUACCUGUGGAGGAAGCCACGGCUAACUACGUGCCAGCAGCCGCGGUAAUACGUAGGUGGCGAGCGUUAUCCGGAUUUACUGGGUGUAAAGGGUGUGUAGGCGGGAUUGCAAGUCAGAUGUGAAAACUAUGGGCUCAACUCAUAGCCUGCAUUUGAAACUGCAAUUCUUGAGUGAUGGAGAGGUAAGCGGAAUUCCCGGUGUAGAGGUAAAAUUCGUAGAUAUCGGGAGGAACACCAGUGGCGAAGGCGGCUUACUGGACAUUAACUGACGCUGAGGCGCGAAAGUGUGGGGAGCAAACAGGAUUAGAUACCCUGGUAGUCCACACUGUAAACGAUGGAUACUAGGUGUGGGGGGACUGACCCCUUCCGUGCCGGAGUUAACACAAUAAGUAUCCCACCUGGGGAGUACGGUCGCAAGAUUAAAACUCAAAGGAAUUGACGGGGACCCGCACAAGCAGUGGAGUAUGUGGUUUAAUUCGACGCUACGCGAAAAACCUUACCAAGGCUUGACAUCCUACUAACGAAGUAGAGAUACAUUAGGUGCCCCUCGGGGAAAGUAGAGACAGGUGGUGCAUGGUUGUCGUCAGCUCGUGUCGUGAGAUGUUGGGUUAAGUCCCGCAACGAGCGCAACCCCUAUCCUUAGUAGCCAGCGGCCAGGCCGGGCACUCUAGGGAGACUGCCGGGGAUAACCCGGAGGAAGGUGGGGAUGACGUCAAAUCAUCAUGCCCCUUAUGAUUUGGGCUACACACGUGCUACAAUGGCGUAAACAAAGGGAAGCGACCCUGCGAAGGUGAGCAAAUCCCAAAAAUAACGUCUCAGUUCGGAUUGUAGUCUGCAACUCGACUACAUGAAGCUGGAAUCGCUAGUAAUCGCGAAUCAGAAUGUCGCGGUGAAUACGUUCCCGGGUCUUGCACUCACCGCCCGU
rnacentral:rRNA from 1 species